rnacentral:rRNA from 1 species
AGCAGCCGCGGUAAUUCCAGCUCCAAUAGCGUAUAUUAAAGUUGUUGCAGUUAAAAAGCUCGUAGUUGAAUUUCGGGGUCAGUAGGUUGGUCGUGCCACUGGUAUGCACUGGUCUUACUGGUCCCUCCCUCUUGUAGAACCGUGAUGCCAUUAAUUUGGUGUUGCGGGGAAACAGGACUGUUACUUUGAAAAAUUAGAGUGUUUAAAGCAGGCUAACGCUUGAAUACAUUAGCAUGGAAUAAUGAAAUAGGACGAUCGAUCCUAUUUUGUUGGUUUCUAGGAUUGACGUAAUGAUUAAUAGGGAUAGUUGGGGGCAUUAGUAUUCAAUUGUCAGAGGUGAAAUUCUUGGAUUUAUUGAAGACUAACUACUGCGAAAGCAUUUGCCAAGGAUGUUUUCAUUAAU